CCUACGGGAGACAGCAGUGAGGAAUAUUGGUCAAUGGGCGAGAGCCUGAACCAGCCAAGUCGCGUGAAGGAUGAAGGAUCUAUGGUUUGUAAACUUCUUUUAUAUGGGAAUAAAGUGCGGAACGUGUUCCUUCUUGUAUGUACCAUAUGAAUAAGCAUCGGCUAACUCCGUGCCAGCAGCCGCGGUAAUACGGAGGAUGCGAGCGUUAUCCGGAUUUAUUGGGUUUAAAGGGUGCGUAGGUGGUUAAUUAAGUCAGCGGUGAAAGUUUGUGGCUCAACCAUCAAAUUGCCGUUGAAACUGGGUGACUUGAGUAUAUUUGAGGUAGGCGGAAUGCGUGGUGUAGCGGUGAAAUGCAUAGAUAUCACGCAGAACUCCGAUUGCGAAGGCAGCUUACUAAACUAUAACUGACACUGAAGCACGAAAGCGUGGGGAUCAAACAGGAGUAGAUACCCGAGUAGUC
rnacentral:rRNA from 1 species